GACGAACGCUGGCGGCGUGCUUAACACAUGCAAGUCGAACGGAAAGGCCCUGCUUUUGUGGGGUGCUCGAGUGGCGAACGGGUGAGUAACACGUGAGUAACCUGCCCUUGACUUUGGGAUAACUUCAGGAAACUGGGGCUAAUACCGGAUAGGAGCUCCUGCUGCAUGGUGGGGGUUGGAAAGUUUCGGCGGUUGGGGAUGGACUCGCGGCUUAUCAGCUUGUUGGUGGGGUAGUGGCUUACCAAGGCUUUGACGGGUAGCCGGCCUGAGAGGGUGACCGGCCACAUUGGGACUGAGAUACGGCCAAGACUCCUACGGGAGGCAGCAGUGGGGAAUAUUGCACAAUGGGCGGAAGCCGGAUGCAGCAACGCCGCGUGCGGGAUGACGGCCUUCGGGUUGUAAACCGCUUUCGCCUGUGACGAAGCGUGAGUGACGGUAAUGGGUAAAGAAGCACCGGCUAACUACGU
rnacentral:rRNA from 1 species